rnacentral:rRNA from 1 species
AACGUAGGUUCCGAGCGUUAUCCGGAUUUACUGGGCGUAAAGCGCGUUCAGGCGGUUUGGCAAGUCGGGCAUGAAAUCUCUCGGCUCAACCGGGAGAGGUUGUCCGAUACUGCUGGACUUGAGGGCAGUAGAGGGUGGUGGAAUUCCGGGUGUAGUGGUGAAAUGCGUAGAUAUCCGGAGGAACACCAGUGGCGAAAGCGGCCACCUGGACUGUACCUGACGCUCAAACGCGAAAGCCAGGGGAGCAAACGGG